ACCAAAGGCAGAUUCAGGCUGAGGGU
rnacentral:piRNA from 1 species